rnacentral:ncRNA from 1 species
UACAUCGGGGAGCUUGUAUGACAGGCUGAGAGGAAGGUAUGACCUUCGACCCAUAUACCUGAUUUGGAUAAUGCCAACGUAGGGACAUACCAUUU